rnacentral:rRNA from 1 species
AUUGAACGCUGGCGGCAGGCCUAACACAUGCAAGUCGAGCGGUAGCACAGAGAGCUUGCUCUCGGGUGACGAGCGGCGGACGGGUGAGUAAUGUCUGGGAAACUGCCUGAUGGAGGGGGAUAACUACUGGAAACGGUAGCUAAUACCGCAUAACGUCGCAAGACCAAAGAGGGGGACCUUCGGGCCUCUUGCCAUCAGAUGUGCCCAGAUGGGAUUAGCUAGUAGGUGGGGUAACGGCUCACCUAGGCGACGAUCCCUAGCUGGUCUGAGAGGAUGACCAGCCACACUGGAGCUGAGACACGGUCCAGACUCCUACGGGAGGCAGCAGUGGGGAAUAUUGCACAAUGGGCGCAAGCCUGAUGCAGCCAUGCCGCGUGUAUGAAGAAGGCCUUCGGGUUGUAAAGUACUUUCAGCGGGGAGGAAGGUGUUGUGGUUAAUAACCACAGCAAUUGACGUUACCCGCAGAAGAAGCACCGGCUAACUCCGUGCCAGCCGCCGCAGUAACAC